GGCGAUUCUCAGGUGACGUACCCCAGAAUCGAGCUCCCUCUUCUCUGGUUCCGGGUGCGUCACCCGAGAACUGCA
rfam:Myotis brandtii contig206982, whole genome shotgun sequence.